rnacentral:rRNA from 1 species
GAUGAACGCUGGCGGCGUGCCUAAUACAUGCAAGUCGAGCGAACAGAUGAGGAGCUUGCUCCUCUGACGUUAGCGGCGGACGGGUGAGUAACACGUGGAUAACCUACCUAUAAGACUGGGAUAACUUCGGGAAAACGGAUCUAAUACCGGAUAAUAUAUUGAACCGCAUGGUUCAAUAGUGAAAGACGGUUUUGUUGUCACUUAUAGAUGGAUCCCCGCCGUAUUAGGUAGUUGGUAAGGUAACGGCUUACCAAGGCAACGAUGCGUAGCCGACCUGAGAGGGUGAUCGGCCACACUGGAACUGAGACACGGUCCAGACUCCUACGGGAGGCAGCAGUAGGGAAUCUUCCGCAAUGGGCGAAAGCCUGACGGAGCAACGCCGCGUGAGUGAUGAAGGUCUUCGGAUCGUAAAACUCUGUUAUUAGGGAAGAACAAAUGUGUAAGUAACUAUGCACGUCUUGACGGUACCUAAUCAGAAAGCCACGGCUAACUACGUG